GCCAGUGUAGCAUAGUGGUUUGAGUGUUGGAUGAUGAAUCUGGAGACCAGGGUUCAAUUCCCCACUUGGCCA